rnacentral:rRNA from 1 species
UACGUAGGGCGCAAGCGUUGUCCGGGAUUAUUGGGCGUAAAGAGCUCGUAGGCGGCUUGUCGCGUCUGUUGUGAAAGCCCGGGGCUUAACCCCGGGUCUGCAGUGGAUACGGGCAGGCUAGAGGCAGGUAGGGGAGAACGGAAUUCCCGGUGUAGCGGUGAAAUGCGCAGAUAUCGGGAGGAACACCGGUGGCGAAGGCGGUUCUCUGGGCCUGUACUGACGCUGAGGAGCGAAAGCGUGGGGAGCGAACAGG